rnacentral:rRNA from 1 species
UACGUAGGGUGCGAGCGUUAAUCGGAAUUACUGGGCGUAAAGCGUGCGCAGGCGGCGCGUUAAGACAGGUGUGAAAGCCCCGAGCUUAACUUGGGAAUUGCGCUUGUGACUGGCGUGCUGGAGUGUGGCAGAGGGAGGUGGAAUUCCACGUGUAGCAGUGAAAUGCGUAGAGAUGUGGAGGAACACCAGUGGCGAAGGCGACUUUCUGGGCUGUAACUGACGCUGAGGCGCGAAAGCGUGGGGAGCAAACAGG